UACGGGGGGGGUAAGCGUUGUUCGGAAUUACUGGGCGUAAAGGGCUCGUAGGCGGCCAACUAAGUCAUACGUGAAAUCCCUCAGCUUAACUGGGGAACUGCGUGUGAUACUGGAUGGCUUGGAUUUGGGAGAGGGAUGCGGAAUUCCAGGUGUAGCGGUGAAAUGCGUAGAUAUCUGGAGGAACACCGGUGGCGAAGGCGGUAUCCUGGACCGAUACUGACGCUGAGGAGCGAAAGCCAGGGGAGCAAACGGG
rnacentral:rRNA from 1 species